AGACAAACAUUUCAGAACUUCCAAAGAAAUCUCAGGUGUAGACAUGUCAGAAGUGCUAAGUUUUUAUGAGAAGAUCAGCUGCAAGCCAAAAUUGUUCCAAGAGGUGAAACAGGAAAUUAAGAAGUUACUGUCAUCAGUGACUUUCUCUCCCAUCUCACCUGAAAAUUUCAGAAUCUACUUGAUCUUACCUUUCCUUUUGCGGGGAGAGGAUGACAUCUCUUAUCAUUCUCUUAAUCUGCUAGCACAAGCCAUCCUGAGACUCCAGCCAAAGGACCUGCAAACUCUUGGUAGGGUUUGGAGUUGGUAGAACUGGAUGAUUUAAAUGCUUAGUCAUUUUGGGCUGCGGAGCAAGAGGUACUCUGGCUGAUGUAAUUAGUUCCAGGAAUUCAGCCUGGAAGAAGUGCUUUCUGUAGAAAUAGAAACAUGGAGACUACACAGCAAAAGCAGUCACAAGAAAAAAAGUGUUUUUCGCAAUCUGAGGUUUCCUAAUCGUUGUAGUGCAAAAUUAAAUGUUUUGCUUAGUUGAUUUGAUAAAAAGAGGAAAUGCAGUUUCAUCUAGAAAUUGUAGCUGUUUGUAAGUUGCCUGUGGCAGAUACUUUACUAGCUGUUUUCUUUACAGAAUCCCUAUGGUCAAAUCUAGAAGUGUUAUUUUUCAAAGAGAUGGUCAGCAUAUAUCAGAGGGCUUCCCGGAACAACCUGUCUCAAUUUAUCUGGGAAGUGCUAUAUUGCCAAAGAGACUUCUUUGUACUGCACUGCCACGAAACAGUGACUCUGCAACUAUUACAGAUUCUUUCCCAGGUGAACUCCAGGGCUGGUUUCAGAAUACACAAAAACAACUUUUAUAUACCUGAAGUGAAAGAGAUUAUCAAACUGAGUUUCUGCGUGAACACGGACGUGGAAAAAAUCGCUCUAUGGAAGCUGACCAAAUACCCAAGCAUCUUUGACAUGCAAGAUAAGACUGCAGUUCAUGAUAUAGAACGCAAUGCUCUAUCCACACGCUGCUUGGCUACUGCUGUAAGUGUAACCAUUUUUAUUUUCAAUUGAAAAAGAGAUAAACGCACAGAUGUUAACAUACUUAUUUCAUUCUUCAGAUAAACUUUCCACUGAUAGUACAGGAACCAUGGAUUUUUCUGGUAAGAAGACAACACCUUCUGCAUGACAUAUGGGACAUUUUAAAUAACGCAGUACCUGAGCAAUUCAAGAACAUCUUAAAAGUAAGAAAUCAAACUGUUUUAUUUUGUUAGCUCUGAAUACCUUACUGCAGAGUUUUCUCUGCAGUGUUACUGAAGUAUUGUAAGAAAGGUUUACCGUAUUCAGUGAGCAUAUAACAAAAAAUCUUGCCCUCAAAUUAUUAUUAAACAAUAUUCCACUGGAAACGUAGAAUAAAUCUGGAGGGCAAGAUCCUACGUUCUUAUUG
rnacentral:lncRNA from 1 species